GAUGAAGAACGUAGUGAAAUGCGAUAAGUAAUGUGAAUUGCAGAAUUCAGUGAACCAUCGAAUCUUUGAACGCACAUUGCGCCCGGCAGUAAUCUGCCGGGCAUGCCUGUCCGAGCGUCAUUUCUACCCUCGAGCGAGUCCAGCAUCUAGGUGCUGGGCCUCGCCCGGCGUUGGAGCACUACGGGAAGCCCUGUGCUGUCCCCCGUAGGCCCCGAAAUGAAGUGGCGGUCCUGCCGCGGCGCCCCCUGCGUAGUAUAACAGCUCGCUUCGGACCCGGUGGAGGCCUGCCGUCAAACCUAUACUCUCUAAGUUUGACCUCGGAUCAGGUAGGGUUACCCGCUGAACUUAAGCAUAUCAAUAAGCGGAGGA
rnacentral:misc_RNA from 1 species